rnacentral:rRNA from 1 species
CAGAGCUUAACUCUGGAACUGCCAUCAAAACUUUUCAGCUAGAGUUGAUAGAGGAAAGCAGAAUUUCUAGUGUAGAGGUGAAAUUCGUAGAUAUUAGAAAGAAUACCAAUUGCGAAGGCAGCUUUCUGGAUCAUUACUGACACUGAGGAACGAAAGCAUGGGUAGCGAAGAGGAUUAGAUACCCUCGUAGUCCAUGCCGUAAACGAUGUGUGUUAGACGUUGGAAAUUUAUUUUCAGUGUCGCAGCGAAAGCGAUAAACACACCGCCUGGGGAGUACGACCGCAAGGUUAAAACUCAAAUGAAUUGACGGGGACCCGCACAAGUAGUGGAGCAUGUGGUUUAAUUCGAAGAUACGCGCAGAACCUUACCAACACUUGACAUGUUCGUCGCGACUUUAAGAGAUUAAAGUUUUCGGUUCGGCCGGACGAAACACAGGUGCUGCAUGGCUGUCGUCAGCUCGUGUCGUGAGAUGUUGGGUUAAGUCCCGCAACGAGCGCAACCCUCACUUUUAGUUGCCAUCAUUUAGUUGGGCACUCUGAAAGAACUGCCAGUGAUAAGCUGGAGGAAGGUGGGGAUGACGUCAAGUCCUCAUGGCCCUUACGUGUUGGGCUACACACGUGCUACAAUGGUAUCUACAACAGGAAGCAAAACAGCGAUGUUAAGCAAAUCCUUAAAAGAUACCUCAGUUCGGAUUGCACUCUGCAACUCGAGUGCAUGAAGUUGGAAUUACUAGUAAUCGUGGAUCAGCGUGCCACGGUGAAUGCGUUCCCGGGUCUUGUACACACCGCCCGUCACACCAUGGGAGUUGGUUCUACCUUAAGGCAAGGCAUAAAACCCUUGACCACGGUAUAGUCAGCGACUGGGGUGAAGUCGUAACAAGGUAACCGUA